UCCUCUAGAUCUGGUCCAAAGGUUCGAAUUCGGCGCUUGGUGCUCCCGAAACAUUGGGGAAGUGAUGGAGCAUGAUGCUGAAGAGAACGAAUGUGAGAAAGAUGGGGAUAGCACACAGGGAAUAGGUAAGCAUCUGAGUUGCUGAUAGGAAGGAGAGAUAAAAAAAAAUGAGCUCGGUUGUAUACUUGUAUUGAUGGGGACAGCCGGCCGACACCAGCGAUGGUUGUGGAGGUCGCUGGCCAAGAACUCGUGCUCAUGCUCAUGGUGGCCGGCACCGUUAAAGUUAUUAUUAUUUUGUUACCUUAAUGAAAUAUGUAACUGUUAUUUGAGAUAAUGAAGUUAUCUUCAAUAAAACUAAUCUAAGUUUGUA